UGUCACGUCUGUUCGGCGUCCCCGUGCUUCAAAAUGGUGGCAGAGAUGCCUUAACUAAAGCUUGUUGAACCAGCUUUAGUUCAAGUGCCUCUGCCACGAUCUUGAAGUGCAGAGCACUGAACACACAUGACGCUGCGGGCCCUUUAAUUAGAGCAGCAAUCAGAGCUGCUCUAAUUAAAGUGCCCCCCUCAUCCUGGAGCAUGUGUGUAGAUGCCCCAAUAUGCUACCUUCGUGAAGGGGAUCCUUUUCUAUUUUAAACUACUAACAUUUCACAUGGAAAAGCCUGCAAUAAAAAUCUGACUUGUCAUAAUUAGGAACUUGCUCAGCAAUUUAGCAUCACUCUGGGAGGUUAACGCUGACUCUUGGCCACCUUGCUGAGCAUGGGAACUGCUGGGACAGGGGCAGAGGAAAUGAUAAUAUUAGGAGUUAUUUAGCUGGGUCCAGAUAUUAUUCACGUGAAAUUCUGAGGGAGGCCGUAUUAGGUUAGCAUUACAACAUAACAGUGGUAUUUGGGCAUUGGACACAUGGGCUUACACUGGAUGGCAAUUCAGGAUCGAGGGAGGGAAGGGUCGAUGGGACUGCUUCUAAGGGUGUCAGUCAUUUCAGGAUAAGCAGUGUAGUCUCUUGCUUUCAGCUCUGUAGAGCUCAUGUUCAAACCCUGGUGUUGAUCAAAUGUGAUAGAUCAACACCAGGGUAAAUCCUCUGUUGUGUACUGCAGCAUAUCCUUUGUGUUUCCACUGGUGUGUGGUAAAGUCAACUCGCACUGCCUACGGGUCUCUCAUCCCUGGGCUCCAAGAUGCUCCUUGGAGGCUCCACCACAUGUCAGUACCUGGGAGUUAUCUAGGGCAGGCAAGUAAGCCCAUGAGCUUCACUGAAGAAACCCUAGGGAGAGGGUAGCAGGUUGUAGUGAUGACUGUUGCAGGAGCACUACAUUUUGGAAGCUGCAAUAACAACUGCAUAGUUGGUGCAUGGUGCUUGUAUGGAACGAUGCAAGUUUGAUGUAGACAACCCGCAUGCACGGAGGGAAUCAUUCACCCAGAGUGACUGAGUGAUGUGUAAGAGGGGCAGAGAAACCCAAAUGGAGAGCUGCAUUGUGCCACGAAUACUUUACACUGAAUGGGUGGUUUGUCACAUCAACAGGGACUGUGGCUUCUGUUUGUAAUGCAGCACAGAGACAGAGUGGCCCUUCCUGUAAGAUUUUACGCUGUGCUCAAUGAGUCAGUGCUUUCUGAAGUUGAUGUGCGAGGGGGUUUCUGAAUAAAAACUGCUGGCUAGGGGACUUGCUUCUUCUCUGGGCCUUUUGUGGCAUAGACCUUUGCAAUCAGAACCCUGAAUUUACAAAAUGAUACAACCCUGAGGAUAACCCUGCUUUUCACCUGGCUUACAUCUCAUUGUGCAGAGAGCUCUGGGACUUUUGCACAUGAAUUAAAAGGGAAACCAUUGCAAAAUUCUGCAGCCCUUAUUCUGCCCAAACUCCCCUUGAAACAUGGAAGUCACUAGGAGCUUUGCUUGACUUUGGAAUAAAAGUCCAGGCCGCAGCGGGCAUUAGUAGGCAUCGUUAUGCCACAGGCCAGAUCCAUAGCCCGAUGACGUAUGGAGUCAAGCGGAUGGGAUUAUGAGGGCAAUCACAGGACUGAGCCCUGAUUGCAGUGGUGCAAGCAGCUUAUCAUUUCUCAGCCAGUUGUAUAGAUUGUAGAUAUUGGAUAGUAGCAUUACAGUGUUUUUAAUUGUGUGUGUGCAGUCAAGAAGCAAAUCUUACCUGGGGACAGAAACUUUGCAUAUCUCCCUUUCUCCUCCAGAUUCCUGUACCUUCAUCUCUGGGAAGCAUCAUAUUUCCAAACCAUCUAUGCAAAGCAUUUCAUGGAGAUAGUGUAAAUUGCCAUAUAUAAAAUCGCAGGCACUGUAAAUACUAAUCAGGCUUCCCGACCUGAUUGGGUGCAUGUAGGAAUCACAUGCCUUGAGGAAAGGGCCAUUUCCUUGCUUGUAUCCGGGUGGCCUUCCUUGGUGAUUCUAAGGCAGGGGUGCUCAACCUUUCAGCCCCAUGGGCCGGAUGAGGGGUGUGGGCUGAAUCGGACCCCUCAUGCUAGAAUUGGGUCCUGGAGUCCUGCACCACCUCUGCCCACUGGGAUCAGGCCCCAAAGCCUCCUGCCACCCCUGCCGGUCCUGCAUGCUGAGAUUUGGCUCUGAUGGGUCCCAUGUCACCUCUGCUCAUCCCUGUGUACCAGGAUUGUCACACUGCACUCCCAAUUUAGUACACAGGGCAAUGACCUGCGAGGCUCCCCAUGGACCUGUGGGGAACUCUGUGGGCUGGGUGAUAUGGUGCUGGGGGCCAAAUUUAGCCCACAGGUUGAGGAUUGAGCAAACCUGUUCUAAUGGGUUUGGGACAAGGGUGCAAUCUCCCUCCUUUAAAGUCCUCAGGAGGUUUGCAGUUGGCUUCUGUGGGGCAGCAAUAGGGUCUCACAACUGUAAGUUAAAGUUAUAGAUGAAUGGAUAACAUAUCACUGGAAAAACCACGUCAGUAUUAUGCUGUGAUUCUUGUAAUGGGAAUGGGCAAUUCGGCAUAAGCAUGUCUUUGCUUGGUGUUGGAAAAUCAACAGCAGUUACAGUUAGGGAAGUCCUUUCCAGCAACCGUAAGGGAGAGCAGACUGUGCGCUGGUAUGACAGUGCAGGGGUCUGACAUUUCAUGCCUUGCGCACAUCAAAAUCCUAUAGACUGCCCUGCGUAUGUGGGGUACAUUUGGGAUGCAGGCGCGAGACUUACUGGGAAACAUAGGACAUACAAAAACCUGCCUUGAAUGUAUGCAUGGGACUGGAAGCUUGUAAAUAAAUGACAAUGCUACUGAUAUGUCCGAGUUCCCUUUAGAAAGCCAUACAUGUUCUCCAUGUUCAGUUGUUUGGUGAGCUGAUGUGCAUCCUUUUAACACCCCCAGUCACUGUAACAAGUUAGUGCACACCAUGGCUACAAGUUCAUGCAGCCGAUAACCAGAUAACAUGUUGGAUGGAUCUUAAAACUUGCACCCUCUUGGGCUCCUGAGAGGAAUCAAGGCAUUGAAGUCUCUCCACUGCCCCAUAAAGUUUGUAUAUACCAUAAUUAAUACCAACCUUAUUGGUAAGGAACACCCAGGACCAAGCUAGUCCUGUUGGUUGCAUCUCCGGAUCCUGCAGAAGUGCUGCACACGGGAGACCCUGCGACUGAACCUUGCAAGGAAAACUGCUCACUACUGGUGGUGACCUUUGUUUCUUUGCUUAGGGUCUACAUCUUGCAAAACGUAGUAAGGUCUCUUAUCAGAUGGCAGCCUAAGUGAAAUUGUACUGUGUUUGACAGAGACCGUCAAACAAAGGAAAAGAGAGAGGGAAAAAUGCUGGUUCAAUGUCCUCCAUUGUCAUCUGAUAGAAACAAAUAUUCCAAUCCAUUGGAACAAAUGUCUGUCUUCAAGCUAAUGGAUGUGGGCUACUAUUAAAAUAAACUCUGUUCCUGUUUUCUGUUAUGUUUAGGUGGGGGAAAAAAUCAACUUGAUUUAUGCCUACUUGUUAACAACCUCAUGUUCAUGGAUUCUUGGUUUACUAAAAUCUUCCACCUUGUAAUUUUUGCUUAUUGUUUUUGUAGCUGUACUCCAAUUGUGAUAGAAAGCCUAUCAAUUGAUGUAAGCCAUAACUAAAACAGUAAUCAGGGUACUUUUUUUGGUCUGUGUCACUGUGUUUGAAAGACAAUUUAACUCAGUCCAAUAAACCAGUCUAACAGUUUCAUUUUAAAA